CGCCGAGAGCCUCCCCUCCCCUCUUAUAGUCGCAGGAUGCUAAAAUCUAGGGGGAGCAAUGAUUGAGACGCGGAUUGCAGGCUGGGAUUGAUUGCGGACACUGGAAUCUAGGGGAAGAAUCACGGGCGGCUGAUCAUGAACGGAUGCUGGAACUCGGACGACGAAGCUGGAUUUCCUUCUUUGGGCCACGGAGGGAUGGGAGCACUGGGAGGUUGGAAUGGAAGGGUGGAUCACGGCUUGAUUGUUGGGAGGAACGCACGGCACGGCUGAUUGGAGACGCUUGGGAUGAGAUGCAGAAGAGGCGGUCAUCCG
rnacentral:lncRNA from 1 species